rnacentral:ribozyme from 1 species
GAUAAGAAGAAGAAAAAGAAAAAGAAGAAACAAACAGAGAGACACGAAUUUGAAAUUAUUGUUUGCCAUGCCAAUGUUAUUCGUUAUUUCUUU